rnacentral:rRNA from 1 species
GAUGAACGCUGGCGGCGUGCCUAAUACAUGCAAGUCGAGCGAACGGACGAGAAGCUUGCUUCUCUGAUGUUAGCGGCGGACGGGUGAGUAACACGUGGAUAACCUACCUAUAAGACUGGGAUAACUUCGGGAAACCGGAGCUAAUACCGGAUAAUAUUUUGAACCGCAUGGUUCAAAAGUAAAAGACGGUCUUGCUGUCACUUAUAGAUGGAUCCGCGCUGCAUUAGCUAGUUGGUAAGGUAACGGCUUACCAAGGCAACGAUGCAUAGCCGACCUGAGAGGGUGAUCGGCCACACUGGAACUGAGACACGGUCCAGACUCCUACGGGAGGCAGCAGUAGGGAAUCUUCCGCAAUGGGCGAAAGCAUGACGGAGCAACGCCGCGUGAGUGAUGAAGGUCUUCGGAUCGUAAAACUCUGUUAUUAGGGAAGAACAUAUGUGUAAGUAACUGUGCACAUCUUGACGGUACCUAAUCAGAAAGCCACGGCUAACUACGUG